rnacentral:rRNA from 1 species
GAAGCUUGCUUCUCGCUGACGAGCGGCGGACGGCGUGUAGUAAUACUUAGGAAUCUACCUAGUAGUGGGGGAUAGCUCGGGGAAACUCGAAUUAAUACCGCAUACGACCUACGGGAGAAAGGGGGCAACUUGUUGCUCUCGCUAUUAGAUGAGCCUAAGUCGGAUUAGCUAGAUGGUGGGGUAAAGGCCUACCAUGGCGACGAUCUGUAGCUGGUCUGAGAGGAUGAUCAGCCACACCGGGACUGAGACACGGCCCGGACUCCUACGGGAGGCAGCAGUGGGGAAUAUUGGACAAUGGGGGCAACCCUGAUCCAGCCAUGCCGCGUGUGUGAAGAAGGCCUUUUGGUUGUAAAGCACUUUAAGCAGUGAAGAAGACUCUAUGGUUAAUACCCAUGGACGAUGACAUUAGCUGCAGAAUAAGCACCGGCUAACUCUGUGCCAGCAGCCGCGGUAAUACAGAGGGUGCAAGCGUUAAUCGGAAUUACUGGGCGUAAAGCGAGCGUAGGUGGCUUGAUAAGUCAGAUGUGAAAGCCCCGGGCUUAACCUGGGAACGGCAUCUGAUACUGUUAGGCUAGAGUAGGUGAGAGGAAGGUAGAAUUCCAGGUGUAGCGGUGAAAUGCGUAGAGAUCUGGAGGAAUACCGAUGGCGAAGGCAGCCUUCUGGCAUCAUACUGACACUGAGGUUCGAAAGCGUGGGUAGCAAACAGGAUUAGAUACCCUGGUAGUCCACGCCGUAAACGAUGUCUACUAGUCGUUGGGUCCCUUGAGGACUUAGUGACGCAGCUAAACGCAAUAAGUAGACCGCCUGGGGAGUACGGCCGCAAGGGUUAAAACUCAUAUGAAUUGACGGGGGCCCG